GACGAACGCUGGCGGCGUGCUUAACACAUGCAAGUCGAACGGAAAGGCCCUGCUCUUGUGGGGUGCUCGAGUGGCGAACGGGUGAGUAGCACGUGAGUAACCUGCCCUUGACUUUGGGAUAACUUCAGGAAACUGGGGCUAAUACCGGAUAGGAGCUCCUGCUGCAUGGUGGGGGUUGGAAAGUUUCGGCGGUUGGGGAUGGACUCGCGGCUUAUCAGCUUGUUGGUGGGGUAGUGGCUUACCAAGGCUUUGACGGGUAGCCGGCCUGAGAGGGUGACCGGCCACAUUGGGACUGAGAUACGGCCCAGACUCCUACGGGAGGCAGCAGUGGGGAAUAUUGCACAAUGGGCGGAAGCCUGAUGCAGCAACGCCGCGUGCGGGAUGACGGCCUUCGGGUUGUAAACCGCUUUCGCCUGUGACGAAGCGUGAGUGGCGGUAAUGGGUAAAGAAGCACCGGCUAACUACGUG
rnacentral:rRNA from 1 species